AUGGCAUUGAGUGGCUUAGAAGAUGCUGAACGGGCACCUGUAAAAGUCAGGCUUCCUCUCACAUCUCACAGUCGGGCCCUCGCAGAGGUGCCUUGUGAUGGGGAACACACACUCUUACAGCUCUUCUCAGCAGGCAGCCCUGGAGCCUUCAUCAUUGCAACAUUUGUACUUGGCAGUGAGCUUGGCUUUGAGCCUGUCAGCAUGCUGACGAAGGAAGCUGUGGGCCUCAGAGAAGCCCGGCUGGUCCAUCAGGAGAAGCAAGAGGAGUAUCCAUGUCAGAAGCACAUUUUCUUUGAGAAAAAGGGAACAGACUCUGGCAUCGUGAACAUAUUUGGUCGGAAGAUCAACUUGAUGCACUCUUAUAAUUUUCCCACAUAACCCCCUCGACACAGCAGCACCUGAAGAAGGUCUAUGCCAGUUUCGCCCUCUGUAUGUUUGUGGCGGCCGUGGGGGCCUAUGUCCACGUGGUCACUCAUUGCCUUCAGGCUGGCCUGCUCUCUGCCUUGGGCUCCCUGGGGUUGAUGAUUUGGCUGAUGACAACACCUCAGAGCCAUGAACCUGAGCAAAAAAGACUGGGACUUCUUGCUGGAUUUGCUUUCCUUACAGGAGUUGGCCUAGGCCCUGCUCUGGAGCUGUGCGUUGCCAUCAACCCCAACAUUCUUCCCCCCGCCUUCAUGGGCACAGCAAUGAUCUGCACCUGCUUCACCCUGAGCGCCCUGUAUGCCAGGCGCCGGAGCUACCUCUUUCUGGGAGGUGUCUUGACGUCAGCCACGAGCCUGAUGCUCUUGUCUUCCCUGGGGAACCUUUUCUUUGGCUCCAUUUGGCUUUUCCAGGCAAACCUGUAUGUGGGGCUGGUGGUCAUGUGUGGCUUUGUCCUUUUUGAUACUCAACUCAUUAUUGAAAAGGCUGAAAAUGGAGAUAAGGAUUAUAUCUGGCACUGCGUUGACCUCUUCUUAGAUUUCAUUACUCUCUUCAGAAAGCUCAUGAUGAUCCUGGCUAUGAAUGAGAAGGACAAGAAGAAAGAGAAGAAGUGAAAUGACCAUGCAGCCUUUCCCAUUUUGACCUCUCUCCCUCCACCCCUCAUUUCCUCUUCGCACACAUUGCAGGUGGUGUGUUCUGUGAUAAUGAAAAGCAUCAGA